AUUGAACGCUGGCGGCAGGCCGAACACAUGCAAGUCGAACGGUAACAGGAAGAAGCUUGCUUCUUUGCUGACGAGUGGCGGACGGGUGAGUAAUGUCUGGGAAACUGCCUGAUGGAGGGGGAUAACUACUGGAAACGGUAGCUAAUACCGCAUAACGUCGCAAGACCAAAGAGGGGGACCUUCGGGCCUCUUGCCAUCGGAUGUGCCCAGAUGGGAUUAGCUAGUAGGUGGGGUAACGGCUCACCUAGGCGACGAUCCCUAGCUGGUCUGAGAGGAUGACCAGCCACACUGGAACUGAGACACGGUCCAGACUCCUACGGGAGGCAGCAGUGGGGAAUAUUGCACAAUGGGCGCAAGCCUGAUGCAGCCAUGCCGCGUGUAUGAAGAAGGCCUUCGGGUUGUAAAGUACUUUCAGCGGGGAGGAAGGGAGUAAAGUUAAUACCUUUGCUCAUUGACGUUACCCGCAGAAGAAGCACCGGCUAACUCCGUG
rnacentral:rRNA from 1 species